rnacentral:rRNA from 1 species
AUUGAACGCUGGCGGCAUGCCUUACACAUGCAAGUCGAACGGCAGCACGGGAGCAAUCCUGGUGGCGAGUGGCGAACGGGUGAGUAAUAUAUCGGAACGUGCCCAGUCGUGGGGGAUAACGCAGCGAAAGCUGUGCUAAUACAGCAUACGAUCUAUGGAUGAAAGCGGGGGACCGCAAGGCCUCGCGCGAUUGGAGCGGCCGAUAUCGGAGUAGCUAGUUGGUGGGGUAAAGGCCCACCAAGGCGACGAUCUGUAGCUGGUCUGAGAGGACGACCAGCCACACUGGAACUGAGACACGGUCCAGACUCCUACGGGAGGCAGCAGUGGGGAAUUUUGGACAAUGGGCGCAAGCCUGAUCCAGCAAUGCCGCGUGCAGGAUGAAGGCCUUCGGGUUGUAAACUGCUUUUGUACGGAACGAAACGGUGAGCUUUAAUACAGUUUGCUAAUGACGGUACCGUAAGAAUAAGCACCGGCUAACUACGUGCCAGCCGCCGCUGUAA